rnacentral:rRNA from 1 species
GAGGGGCCCGCGUCGGAUUAGGUAGUUGGUGGGGUAACGGCCUACCAAGCCUGCGAUCCGUAGCUGGUCUGAGAGGAUGAUCAGCCACACUGGGACUGAGACACGGCCCAGACUCCUACGGGAGGCAGCAGUGGGGAAUAUUGGACAAUGGGCGCAAGCCUGAUCCAGCAAUGCCGCGUGAGUGAUGAAGGCCUUAGGGUUGUAAACCCCUUUCAGCAGGGACGAAAUUGACGGUACCUGCAGAAGAAGCCCCGGCCAACUACGUGCCAGCAGCCGCGGUAAUACGUAGGGGGCGAGCGUUGUCCGGAUUCAUUGGGCGUAAAGAGCUCGUAGGCGGCUUGGCAAGUCGGAUGUGAAAACUCCAGGCUCAACCUGGAGCCGCCAUUCGAUACUGCUAUGGCUAGAGUCCGGUAGGGGAGUGUGGAAUUCCCGGUGUAGCGGUGAAAUGCGCAGAUAUCGGGAGGAACACCGAUGGCGAAGGCAGCACUCUGGGCCGGUACUGACGCUGAGGAGCGAAAGCGUGGGGAGCGAACAGGAUUAGAUACCCUGGUAGUCCACGCCGUAAACGUUGGGCACUAGGUGU